UUUUUCUCUUUUUUUCCAUUUUGAGAUAAGACAAGGUCUUGAUAUAUAGCCCUGACUCGUUUGAAAAUUGUUGCAUAGAGCAGACAACUUCCAACUUGUGUGCUCUUCCUGCCUCUGGCUACGAAGUGUUGAGGUACUGGUACUGGAGGCACUCCUGGGUACUGGGGGCACUCCUGGGUACUGGAGGCACUCCUGGGUACUGGCG
rnacentral:lncRNA from 1 species